rnacentral:rRNA from 1 species
AGAGUUUGAUCCUGGCUCAGGACGAACGCUGGCGGCGUGCUUAACACAUGCAAGUCGAACGGAAAGGCCCUUCGGGGUACUCGAGUGGCGAACGGGUGAGUAACACGUGGGUGAUCUGCCCUGCACUCUGGGAUAAGCCUGGGAAACUGGGUCUAAUACCGGAUAGGACCGCAUGCUUCAUGGUGUGUGGUGCAAAGCUUUUGCGGUGUGGGAUGAGCCCGCGGCCUAUCAGCUUGUUGGUGGGGUAAUGGCCUACCAAGGCGACGACGGGUAGCCGGCCUGAGAGGGUGACCGGCCACACUGGGACUGAGAUACGGCCCAGACUCCUACGGGAGGCAGCAGUGGGGAAUAUUGCACAAUGGGCGCAAGCCUGAUGCAGCGACGCCGCGUGAGGGAUGACGGCCUUCGGGUUGUAAACCUCUUUCAGUAGGGACGAAGCGAAAGUGACGGUACCUACAGAAGAAGGACCGGCCAACUACGUGCCAGCAGCCGCGGUAAUACGUAGGGUGCGAGCGUUGUCCGGAAUUACUGGGCGUAAAGAGCUCGUAGGUGGUUUGUCGCGUUGUUCGUGAAAACUCACAGCUUAACUGUGGGCGUGCGGGCGAUACGGGCAGACUAGAGUACUGCAGGGGAGACUGGAAUUCCUGGUGUAGCGGUGGAAUGCGCAGAUAUCAGGAGGAACACCGGUGGCGAAGGCGGGUCUCUGGGCAGUAACUGACGCUGAGGAGCGAAAGCGUGGGUAGCGAACAGGAUUAGAUACCCUGGUAGUCCAA